rnacentral:rRNA from 1 species
AGUGAACGCUGGCGGUAGGCCUAACACAUGCAAGUCGAACGGCAGCACAGUAAGAGCUUGCUCUUACGGGUGGCGAGUGGCGGACGGGUGAGGAAUACAUCGGAAUCUACUUUUUCGUGGGGGAUAACGUAGGGAAACUUACGCUAAUACCGCAUACGACCUACGGGUGAAAGCAGGGGAUCUUCGGACCUUUCGCGAUUGAAUGAGCCGAUGUCGGAUUAGCUAGUUGGCGGGGUAAAGGCCCACCAAGGCGACGAUCCGUAGCUGGUCUGAGAGGAUGAUCAGCCACACUGGAACUGAGACACGGUCCAGACUCCUACGGGAGGCAGCAGUGGGGAAUAUUGGACAAUGGGCGCAAGCCUGAUCCAGCCAUACCGCGUGGGUGAAGAAGGCCUUCGGGUUGUAAAGCCCUUUUGUUGGGAAAGAAAAGCAGCAGGUUAAUACGCCGCUGUUCUGACGGUACCCAAAGAAUAAGCACCGGCUAACUUCGUG